rnacentral:rRNA from 1 species
AUGAAUUAUGAGUUUAAUAGAUCCUCUUUAGCAGAAAGACGUAUAUUCCUUGCUCAUUAUCAGACAAUCACUUAUUCCCAAACCUCGUGUGGGACUAAUCAUUUUCAUUUACCAUCUCAUGGAAAACCCUUUUCGUUCCGCUUAGCCCUAUCGGGUAUUUUAGUGAUAGGUUCUGUAGGAACUGGACGAUCCUAUUUGGUCAAAUACCUAACGAAAAAUUACGAUUUUCCUUUCAUUAAGGUACGAGGGCUUCUUAUUCCACAAGAACGAAAGCACCUUUUCAUUCUUUCAUAUACUAGGGGUUUUUACUUGGAAAAGACAAUGUUCCAUACUAAAGGAUUCGGGUCCAUAACCACGAGUUCCAGUGCACUAGAUCUUGUAGCACUUAGCAACGAAGCCCUAUCCAUUAGUAUUCCACAUAAGAAAUCCAUUCUAGAAAAAAAUACAAUUAGAUUAGCUCUUCAUAGACAAACUUGGGGUUUGCGAGCCAAGGUAAGAUCGGCUCGGGAUCAUGGGACCCUUUUCUAUCAGAUAGGAGGGGCUCUUGUACAAAAUAGACUUACUAAGUAA